rnacentral:rRNA from 1 species
CAACUCCCAAACCCAUGUGAACAUACCUAUUGUUGCUUCGGCGGGAUUGCCCCGGGCGCCUCGUGUGCCCCGGAUCAGGCGCCCGCCUAGGAAACUCAACUCUUGUUUUAUUUUGGAAUCUUCUGAGUAGUUUUUACAAAUAAAUAAAAACUUUCAACAACGGAUCUCUUGGUUCUGGCAUCGAUGAAGAACGCAGCGAAAUGCGAUAAGUAAUGUGAAUUGCAGAAUUCAGUGAAUCAUCGAAUCUUUGAACGCACAUUGCGCCCGCCAGUAUUCUGGCGGGCAUGCCUGUCUGAGCGUCAUUUCAACCCUCAUGCCCCUAGGGCGUGGUGUUGGGGAUCGGCCAAAGCCCGCGAGGGACGGCCGGCCCCUAAAUCUAGUGGCGGACCCGUCGUGGCCUCCUCUGCGAAGUAGUGAUAUUCCGCAUCGGAGAGCGAUGAGCCCCUGCCGUUAAACCCCCAACUUUCUAAGGUUGACCUCAGAUCAGGUAGGAAUAC